UAAAGAUUCAUCGCUGAUAGAUAGGCAUGCGUUCCAUUAGGCAGUUGGCGGGGUAACGGCCCACCAAACCGACGAUGGAUAGGGGUUCUGAGAGGAAGGUCCCCCACAUUGGUACUGAGACACGGACCAAACUCCUACGGGAGGCAGCAGUGAGGAAUAUUGGUCAAUGGGCGUAAGCCUGAACCAGCCAAGUCGCGUGAGGGAUGAAGGUUCUAUGGAUCGUAAACCUCUUUUAUAAGGGAAUAAAGUGCGGGACGUGUCCCGUUUUGUAUGUACCUUAUGAAUAAGGAUCGGCUAACUCCGUGCCAGCAGCCGCGGUAAUACGGAGGAUCCGAGCGUUAUCCGGAUUUAUUGGGUUUAAAGGGUGCGUAGGCGGCCUUUUAAGUCAGCGGUGAAAGUCUGUGGCUCAACCAUAGAAUUGCCGUUGAAACUGGGAGGCUUGAGUAUGUUUGAGGCAGGCGGAAUGCGUGGUGUAGCGGUGAAAUGCUUAGAUAUCACGCAGAACCCCGAUUGCGAAGGCAGCCUGCCAAGCCAUGACUGACGCUGAUGCACGAAAGCGUGGGGAUCAAACAGGAUUAGAUACCCUGGUAGUCCACGCAGUAAACGAUGAUCACUAGCUGUUUGCGAUACAGUGUA
rnacentral:rRNA from 1 species